GAUGAACGCUGGCGGCGUGCCUAAUACAUGCAAGUCGAGCGAACGGACGAGAAGCUUGCUUCUCUGAUGUUAGCGGCGGACGGGUGAGUAACACGUGGAUAACCUACCUAUAAGACUGGGAUAACUUCGGGAAACCGGGGCUAAUACCGGAUAAUAUUUUGAACCGCAUGGUUCAAAAGUGAAAGACGGUCUUGCUGUCACUUAUAGAUGGAUCCGCGCUGCAUUAGCUAGUUGGUAAGGUAACGGCUUACCAAGGCAACGAUGCAUAGCCGACCUGAGAGGGUGAUCGGACACUCGGGAACUUGGACACGGUCCAGACUCCUACGGGAGGCAGCAGUAGGGAAUCUUCCGCAAUGGGCGAAAGCCUGACGGAGCAACGCCGCGUGAGUGAUGAAGGUCUUCGGAUCGUAAAACUCUGUUAUUAGGGAAGAACAUAUGUGUAAGUAACUGUGCACAUCUUGACGGUACCUAAUCAGAAAGCCACGGCUAACUACGUG
rnacentral:rRNA from 1 species